rnacentral:rRNA from 1 species
AACGAACGCUGGCGGCAGGCCUAACACAUGCAAGUCGAGCGAAGCCUUCGGGCUUAGCGGCGGACGGGUGAGUAACGCGUGGGAACGUGCCCUUUGCUACGGAAUAGCCCCGGGAAACUGGGAGUAAUACCGUAUGUGCCCUUCGGGGGAAAGAUUUAACGGCAAAGGAUCGGCCCGCGUUGGAUUAGGUAGUUGGUGGGGUAAUGGCCUACCAAGCCGACGAUCCAUAGCUGGUUUGAGAGGAUGAUCAGCCACACUGGGACUGAGACACGGCCCAGACUCCUACGGGAGGCAGCAGUGGGGAAUCUUAGACAAUGGGGGAAACCCCGAUCUAGCCAUGCCGCGUGAUCGAUGAAGGCCUUAGGGUUGUAAAGAUCUUUCAGUGGGGAAGAUAAUGACUGUACCCACAGAAGAAGCCCCGGCUAACUCCGUGCCAGCAGCCGCGGUAAUAC